rnacentral:rRNA from 1 species
GACGAACGCUGGCGGCGUGCUUAACACAUGCAAGUCGAACGGUAAGGCUCCAGCUUGCUGGGGUACACGAGUGGCGAACGGGUGAGUAACACGUGGGUGACCUGCCCUGCACUUCGGGAUAAGCCUGGGAAACUGGGUCUAAUACCGGAUAGGACCGCACCGUGGGGGUGAGGUGGAAAGUUUUUUCGGUGUGGGAUGGGCCCGCGGCCUAUCAGCUUGUUGGUGGGGUAAUGGCCUACCAAGGCGGCGACGGGUAGCCGGCCUGAGAGGGUGGACGGCCACAUUGGGACUGAGACACGGCCCAGACUCCUACGGGAGGCAGCAGUGGGGAAUAUUGCACAAUGGGCGGAAGCCUGAUGCAGCGACGCCGCGUGGGGGAUGACGGCCUUCGGGUUGUAAACUCCUUUCACCAUCGACGAAGGGUUUCUGACGGUAGAUGGAGAAGAAGCACCGGCUAACUACGUG